rnacentral:rRNA from 1 species
GAUCCUGGCUCAGGAUGAACGCUGGCGGCGUGCUUAACACAUGCAAGUCGAACGGACUUAUCAUGAUGAGACCUUCGGGAGGAUUCGUUUUAAGUUAGUGGCGGACGGGUGAGUAACGCGUGGGUAACCUGCCUUACACAGGGGGAUAACGAUUGGAAACGAUCGCUAAUACCGCAUAAGACCACAGUGCCGCAUGGUACAGAGGUAAAAGAUUCAUCGGUGUAAGAUGGACCCGCGUCUGAUUAGCCAGUUGGCAGGGUAACGGCCUACCAAAGCGACGAUCAGUAGCCGACCUGAGAGGGUGAUCGGCCACAUUGGGACUGAGACACGGCCCAAACUCCUACGGGAGGCAGCAGUGGGGAAUAUUGCACAAUGGGGGAAACCCUGAUGCAGCGACGCCGCGUGAGUGAAGAAGUAUUUCGGUAUGUAAAGCUCUUUAAGCAGGGAAGAUAAUGACGGUACCUGCAGAAUAAGCACCGGCUAAAUACGUGCC